UGUGUGUGUGUGUGUGUGUGCACAGUUCUGAGAAAUGUAGACAUUUGUAACUGUCCAGUUUGGUUCCUACAGUUGAGGAACAGUCCCAUCUC